UACGGAGGAUCCGAGCGUUAUCCGGAUUUAUUGGGUUUAAAGGGUGCGCAGGCGGGAGAUUAAGUCGGCGGUGAAAUUUUGCAGCUCAACUGUAAAAGUGCCUUCGAAACUGGUUUCCUUGAGUGUAGAUGAAGUAGGCGGAAUUUGUGGUGUAGCGGUGAAAUGCUUAGAUAUCACGAGGAACUCCGAUUGCGCAGGCAGCUUGCUGGGUCGUUACUGACGCUGAUGCUCGAAGGUGCGGGGAUCAAACAGGAUUAGAUACCCGGGUA
rnacentral:rRNA from 1 species